UGCGUAGGUGGUCUUGUAAGCGUGGGGUGAAAGGCAGUGGCUUAACCAUUGCUAGCCUUGCGAACUGUGAGACUUGAGUGCAGGAGAGGAAAGUGGAAUUCCUAGUGUAGCGGUGAAAUGCGUAGAUAUUAGGAGGAACACCAGUGGCGAAGGCGACUUUCUGGACUGUAACUGACACUGAGGCACGAAAGCGUGGGGAGCAAACA
rnacentral:rRNA from 1 species